CCUGGUUGGAUAAGGAUUCAAAAUUGGAUAUUAUAUGAAGAUGAAAUCUGACGCAUAGCUUCAUUGUUAAAACUGAUAAAAUAAUUGCUGUCUGUGAUUCUAUAUGGGCUGUGGCAAUAAUCAAGGCCGCUUUCCUGACCUGGCGCAGAUGGCACGCAGGUACUCGUCUGCUCCAUGCACAAGCACCAACAGUGAGAGACUGUUUAGUGCUGCAUCUCAUGUCCAUACCUGCAAACUCAGAAGGCCUGAAAAAGGUGACAGAUUGGCAAAAUAAAUGGAAAAAAUGCGAAACACCGCGUUCGGUAUUCGGCCUUCGGCCUUCGGCCAAGCAUUUCAUUAUUAUUCGGCUUCGGCUUCGGCCAAGAAUUUCAUUUCGGUGCAUCCCUA